rnacentral:rRNA from 1 species
AGUGAACGCUGGCGGUAGGCCUAACACAUGCAAGUCGAACGGCAGCACAGUAAGAGCUUGCUCUUACGGGUGGCGAGUGGCGGACGGGUGAGGAAUACAUCGGAAUCUACUUUUUCGUGGGGGAUAACGUAGGGAAACUUACGCUAAUACCGCAUACGACCUACGGGUGAAAGCAGGGGAUCUUCGGACCUUGCGCGAUUGAAUGAGCCGAUGUCGGAUUAGCUAGUUGGCGGGGUAAAGGCCCACCAAGGCGACGAUCCGUAGCUGGUCUGAGAGGAUGAUCAGCCACACUGGAACUGAGACACGGUCCAGGCUCCUACGGGAGGCAGCAGUGGGGAAUAUUGGACAAUGGGGGCAAGCCUGAUCCAGCCAUACCGCGUGGGUGAAGAAGGCCUUCGGGUUGUAAAGCCCUUUUGUUGGGAAAGAAAAGCAGCAGGUUAAUACCCCGCUGUUCUGACGGUACCCAAAGAAUAAGCACCGGCUAACUUCGUG